rnacentral:lncRNA from 1 species
AAAAACUGUAGGAGGGGUGGGAUUGAGUCUAAUAGAACCACCUAGAAUUAGGCAUUUUGUGGCAAUGAGCAGCAGUAGGAGGACUGAUCAGAAUAGAGUGUGACCAGGCUGAGAAGGGGGCAUGGAGCCAGGGGAAGGACAGGGACUGAUCAUAAUAAAGGAGCGUGGGAGCCACUGUGAGACCUUGGGCUUUGGCCAUGGGCAGAAGAGGAGGCUAUCUCAUGGUCUUGAGCAGAGGCCUGCACGGUGUAACUUCACUUGAAGGGCAGGUUUCUCUGCAUGGAGCAUGGACUUCAGGGAUAUUCCAGGAGAG